rnacentral:rRNA from 1 species
CGACGUGAGGAACCUGCCUUUCAGAGGGGGACAACAGUUGGAAACGACUGCUAAUACCGCAUAACACAUAGGUGUCGCAUGGCAUUUAUGUCAAAGAUUUAUCGCUGAAAGAUGGCCUCGCGUCUGAUUAGCUAGUUGGUGAGGUAACGGCUCACCAAGGCGACGAUCAGUAGCCGGACUGAGAGGUUGGCCGGCCACAUUGGGACUGAGAUACGGCCCAAACUCCUACGGAAGGCAGCAG